rnacentral:tRNA from 1 species
UAGCUCAGUUGGUUAGAGCAUGGUGCUAAUAACGCCAAGUUCCCAGGUUCAAUCCCUGC